rnacentral:sRNA from 12 species
UGCCUAAACCCAUUGAAAGUGAUUUUGAUGGGCAUGGCAUAAAUCCAUCCAAGGUAUAGAACCCGUCGUCAGGGAUCCUUGGAUGGUCGUGUGUGGAAACGCAUACGUUGAGGCCGAAAGGCUUCUA